CACAAAUAUGAAGGCGGGCUGGAACCUCUCGGGGCUUACAGCCUUGCUGAAUUAUUCACCCUUGUCUUUUGCGUACUUCUUGUUUCCUUGGUGGGUUCGCCCACCACUAGGACAAACAUAAACCUUUUGUAAUUGCAAUCAGCGUCAGUAACAAAUUAAUAAUUA
rnacentral:misc_RNA from 1 species